rnacentral:rRNA from 1 species
CCUACGGGUGGCAGCAGUGGGGAAUAUUGGGCAAUGGGCGCAAGCCUGACCCAGCAACGCCGCGUGAAGGAAGAAGGCUUUCGGGUUGUAAACUUCUUUUAAGAGGGAAGAGCAGAGGACGAUGCCUCUUGAAUAGGCCACGGCUAACUACGUGCCAGCAGCCGCGGUAAUCCGUAGGUGGCAGGCGUUGUGCGGAUUUAGUGGGUGUAAAGGGCGUGCAGGCGGGAAGACAAGUCAGUUGUGAAAUCCCGCGGCUCAACCGGGGAAAUGCAUUUGAAACUGUUUUUCUUGAGUACCGGAGAGGUCAUCGGAAUUCCUUGUGUAGCGGUGAAAUGCGUAGAUAUAAGGAAGAACACCAGUGGCGAAGGCGGAUGACUGGACGGCAACUGACGGUGAGGCGCGAAAGCGUGGGGAGCAAACAGGAUUAGAUACCCUUGUAGUC